rnacentral:rRNA from 1 species
UAGGGAAUCUUCCGCAAUGGACGCAAGUCUGACGGAGCAACGCCGCGUGAGUGAAGAAGGAUUUCGGUUCGUAAAACUCUGUUGCUAGAGAAGAACAGCGCAUAGAGUAACUGUUAUGCGUGUGACGGUAUCUAACCAGAAAGCCACGGCUAACUACGUGCCAGCAGCCGCGGUAAUACGUAGGUGGCAAGCGUUGUCCGGAUUUAUUGGGCGUAAAGCGAGCGCAGGCGGUCAAUUAAGUCUGAUGUGAAAGCCCCCGGCUCAACCGGGGAGGGUCAUUGGAAACUGGUUGGCUUGAGUGCAGAAGAGGAGAGUGGAAUUCCAUGUGUAGCGGUGAAAUGCGUAGAUAUGUGGAUGAACACCAGUGGCGAAGUCGACUCUCUGGUCUGUAACUGACGCUGAGGCUCGAAAGCGUGGGUAGCAAACAGG